AUUGAACGCUGGCGGCAGGCUUAACACAUGCAAGUCGAGCGAGCGGCGGACGGGUGAGUAACGCGUAGUUAACUGCCUCAGAGCGGGGGAUCACUAAUGGAAACGAUAGCUAAUACCGAAUACUGUGAGAUGGACCUGCGUUGUAUUGGGUAGUUGGUGAGGUAAAGGCUCACCAAGGCGACGAUACAUAGCCGACCGGAGAGGGUGAUCCGCCAAACUUGGACUGGAGAACGGCCCAGAAUCCUACGGGAGGCAACAGGAGGGAAUUUUUGGAAAAUGGCGGAAGUCUGGCCGCGCAACGCCGGGGGAGUGAAGAAGGUUUUCGGAUCGUAAAGCUAUGUUGUGAUAGAAGCGUUAACUACACAGAAAGGGACGGCUAACUACGUGCCAGCAGCCGCGGUAAUAC
rnacentral:rRNA from 1 species